UUUUUUUUAAUAUAAUAUUAAAUAUAUUAUAUUGUAAUUGUAAAAAUUAUCAAUUUCGUUUAUUAAAAAAAA
rnacentral:tRNA from 2 species